GGCAACAGUACAUUAUAUUGUAAUUACUUUUAUAAACUUUCAUUUUUUGGUGUUACUGUUCCUUUAAUAAUGUGGAAUGUCCUUCAUAAGUAGUUUAUCCUUUAAAUGGGCACACCUGGUAAACUAAUUAGCACAGGUGUCUAAAAUUGAUUUCAGUGAUCCAAAGAGCCCUGAGACACAAUGCCAUCCAUGAGUUUAAUUGAAAACCUUUGUGACACUUAAAAAUAAUUUGCAUAAUAAUUUGGAACAGGGUGUAAAGACUAGCACCAGGACUCGUAGUGCUGCAACAGCACCAUCUACUGAUAGGAAGAAUGCACUGUAGUGCCUGUGGUCAUCCACUUCUCCUUCUGAACAGACUCCCAGGCACCUCUUCACAAACUACAGCUGCUGGAAAUCCUGCUCCAACACUUCAAAAUGCUUCUUCCUCUGUCUCUUCUCUCUUCACAGGUACAUUGCUGCGAGACUCCUUUGACUUCUGCUCAGGCACUGAAACAACUCAGUGCUGAACUGCAACAAUCAGCCUCAACUAGACCUUCUACUGGUCAGCAGGACUCAGAUUAUCAAGGAGCUGGAUUUAUAUUCACUCAGUGCCAGAAUAUUACCAAGAGACAAAGACAACCACAAAGCGACAACCGUUUUCUUAAAUUUCCCUAAUCUUGAUAUCGCCACACAGGACCGGAAUACAUUUCUUAAUUAUCUGUUUAAUAUCAUUAAACUGACAACUAUAUGCAGUAAUAAACUUGGGUGCAUCCAACUUA